UACGGGGGGGGCAAGCGUUGUUCGGAAUUACUGGGCGUAAAGGGCUCGUAGGCGGCCAACUAAGUCAGACGUGAAAUCCCUCGGCUUAACCGGGGAACUGCGUCUGAUACUGGAUGGCUUGAGUUUGGGAGAGGGAUGCGGAAUUCCAGGUGUAGCGGUGAAAUGCGUAGAUAUCUGGAGGAACACCGAUUGCGAAGGCAGCUCGCUGGAACGUUACUGACGCUGAGACGCGAAAGCGUGGGGAGCAAACAGG
rnacentral:rRNA from 1 species